AUUGAACGCUGGCGGCAUGCUUUACACAUGCAAGUCGAACGGUAACAGGCCGCAAGGUGCUGACGAGUGGCGAACGGGUGAGUAAUGCAUCGGAACGUGCCCAGUCGUGGGGGAUAACGCAGCGAAAGCUGUGCUAAUACCGCAUACGAUCUAUGGAUGAAAGCGGGGGACCGUAAGGCCUCGCGCGAUUGGAGCGGCCGAUGUCAGAUUAGGUAGUUGGUGGGGUAAAGGCUCACCAAGCCAACGAUCUGUAGCUGGUCUGAGAGGACGACCAGCCACACUGGGACUGAGACACGGCCCAGACUCCUACGGGAGGCAGCAGUGGGGAAUUUUGGACAAUGGGCGCAAGCCUGAUCCAGCAAUGCCGCGUGCAGGAAGAAGGCCUUCGGGUUGUAAACUGCUUUUGUACGGAACGAAAUAGCUCUGGAUAAUACCUGGGGCUCAUGACGGUACCGUAAGAAUAAGCACCGGCUAACUACGUGCCAGCCGCCGCAGUAAAAC
rnacentral:rRNA from 1 species